rnacentral:rRNA from 1 species
AACGGGAAGCCUACCAUGCAAGUCGAGGGGUAACGGGAAGUGCUUGCACUUUGCCGACGACCGGCGCACGGGUGCGGAACGCGUAUGGAACCUGCCCCUGUCAGGGGAAUAGCCCAGAGAAAUUUGGAUUAAUGCCCCAUGGUAUCCCAUCACCACAUGGUGUAGGGAUUAAAGAUUUAUCGGACAGGGAUGGCCAUGCGUACCAUUAGCUUGUUGGUGAGGUAACGGCUUACCAAGGCAACGAUGGUUAGGGGCCCUGAGAGGGGGAUCCCCCACACUGGUACUGAGACACGGACCAGACUCCUACGGGAGGCAGCAGUGAGGAAUAUUGGACAAUGGGCGGGAGCCUGAUCCAGCCAUGCCGCGUGCAGGAUGACUGCCCUAUGGGUUGUAAACUGCUUUUAUACGGGAAGAAACCUGUCCACGUGUGGACAGCUGACGGUACCGUAAGAAUAAGGACCGGCUAACUCCGUGCCAGCAGCCGCGGUAAUACGGAGGGUCCGAGCGUUAUCCGGAAUCAUUGGGUUUUAAAGGGUCCGUAGGUGGGGCCAUUAAGUCAGGGGUGAAAAGUCUGCAGCCUCAACUGUAGAAUUGUCUUUUGAUACUU